UGCCAGCCGCCGCGGUAAUACGAAUGGUGCAAGCGUUGUUCGGAAUCACUGGGCAUAAAGAGCAUGUAGGCGGCCGCGUCAGUCAGGUGUGAAAUCCCUCGGUUUAACCGAGGAACUGCAUCUGAUACUGCGUAGCUAGAGUGCGGGAGGGGAGAACGGAAUUCCUGGUGGAGCGGUGAAAUGCGUAGAUAUCAGGAGGAACGCCGGAGGCGAAAGCGGUUCUCUGGCCCGUCACUGACGCUGAGUGUGCGAAAGCUAGGGGAGCAAACAGGAUUAGAUA
rnacentral:rRNA from 1 species